AGAGUUUGUUCCUGGCUCAGGAUGAACGCUGGCGGCGUGCCUAACACAUGCAAGUCGAACGGAGCUGCUUUGAUGAAGUUUUCGGAUGGAUUUAAAACAGCUUAGUGGCGGACGGGUGAGUAACGCGUGGGUAACCUGCCUCACACUGGGGGAUAACAGUUAGAAAUAGCUGCUAAUACCGCAUAAGCGCACAGUUCCGCAUGGAACGGUGUGAAAAACUCCGGUGGUGUGAGAUGGACCCGCGUCUGAUUAGCCAGUUGGCGGGGUAACGGCCCACCAAAGCGACGAUCAGUAGCCGGCCUGAGAGGGUGAACGGCCACAUUGGGACUGAGACACGGCCCAAACUCCUACGGGAGGCAGCAGUGGGGAAUAUUGCACAAUGGGGGAAACCCUGAUGCAGCGACGCCGCGUGAGUGAAGAAGUAUUUCGGUAUGUAAAGCUCUAUCAGCAGGGAAGAAAGUGACGGUACCUGAAUAAGAAGCCCCGGCUAACUACGUGCCAGCAGCCGCGGUAAUACGUAGGGGGCAAGCGUUAUCCGGAUUUACUGGGUGUAAAGGGAGCGUAGACGGCAAGGCAAGUCUGAAGUGAAAGCCCGGUGCUUAACGCCGGGACUGCUUUGGAAACUGUUUAGCUGGAGUGCCGGAGAGGUAAGCGGAAUUCCUAGUGUAGCGGUGAAAUGCGUAGAUAUUAGGAAGAACACCAGUGGCGAAGGCGGCUUACUGGACGGUAACUGACGUUGAGGCUCGAAAGCGUGGGGAGCAAACAGGAUUAGAUACCCUGGUAGUCCACGCCGUAAACGAUGAU
rnacentral:rRNA from 1 species